rnacentral:rRNA from 1 species
AUUGAACGCUGGCGGCAGGCCUAACGCAUGCAAGUCGAACGGUAACAGGAAGAAGCUUGCUUCUUUGCUGACGAGUGGCGGACGGGUGAGUAAUGUCUGGGAAACUGCCUGAUGGAGGGGGAUAACUACUGGAAACGGUAGCUAAUACCGCAUAACGUCGCAAGACCAAAGAGGGGGACCUUCGGGCCUCUUGCCAUCGGAUGUGCCCAGAUGGGAUUAGCUAGUAGGUGGGGUAACGGCUCACCUAGGCGACGAUCCCUAGCUGGUCUGAGAGGAUGACCAGCCACACUGGAACUGAGACACGGUCCAGACUCCUACGGGAGGCAGCAGUGGGGAAUAUUGCACAAUGGGCGCAAGCCUGAUGCAGCCAUGCCGCGUGUAUGAAGAAGGCCUUCGGGUUGUAAAGUACUUUCAGCGGGGAGGAAGGGAGUAAAGUUAAUACCUUUGCUCAUUGACGUUACCCGCAGAAGAAGCACCGGCUAACUCCGUG